AUUAAUUAUUUUGGCAGAUUAGUGCAAUGAAUUUAGAAUUCAUAUAUGUAAUUUUUUACAAAUA
rnacentral:tRNA from 4 species